rnacentral:rRNA from 1 species
CGGGUGAGUAAUGGUAAGGAAUCUACCCCAAAGGGAAGAAUAGCUCGCCGAAAGGCGGGGUAAUCCUGCAUAUGACCGCAAGGUUAAAGGGCAUAACUGCCCGCUUUGGGAGGAGCCUUACUCCUAUCAGCUAGUUGGUAGGGUAACGGCCUACCAAGGCUAUGACGGGUAGCUGGUGUGAGAGCACAACCAGCCACAAUGGCACUGCGACACGGGCCAUACACCUACGGGUGGCAGCAACCGGGAAUAGUCGGCAAUGGACGAAAGUCUGACCGCGCAACGCCGUGUGAGGGAUGAAGCCUUUCGGGGUGUAAACCUCUUUUAUUUUGACAUAAUGUCGAUUUGAAUAAGCACCUACUAACUACGUGCCAGCAGUCGCGGUAAUACGUAGGGUGCAAGCGUUAUCCGGAUUUACUGGGCGUAAAGAGUCGCGUAGGCGGUUUACCGCAUCUUAUCUUAAAUAGCCCUGCUUAACGGGGUUCCGGAUAAGAGAUGGGUAGACUUCGGGUCCGUUGGAGUUUCUGGAACUUCCGGUGUAGCAGUGAAAUGCGUUGAUAUCGGAAGGAACACCAAGAGCGAAGGCAAGAAACUAGUCGGAUCCUAACGCUGAGGCACGAUAGCUAGGGGAGCGAAGCAGAUUAGAGACCUGCGUAGUCCUAGCUGUAAACGCAUGAGUGCUAGAUGCCCCGCUCGCAAAGUCGAAGACUUUGCGGAGUUUAUAGAGGGGGGUGUCGCAAGCUAACGCAUUAAGCACUCCGCCUGGGGAGUACGGCCGCAAGGUUGAAACUCAAAGGAAUUGGCGGGGACCCGCACAACCGGUGGAGCAUGUGGUUUAAUUCGAGACGAAGCGAAAGACCUCACCACGGUUUGACAUGUUAUCGUUUAUUCCGCCAGAAACGGUGGAAAAUCCGUAAGGAAGAUAACAAAGCUGCUGCAUGGCUGUCGUCAGUUCGUACCGUGAGGUGUUCCCUUAAGUGGGGUAACGAGCGCAACCCUUGCCCCGAGUUAAAUUUGUCUCGGGGGACGGUCCCGAUGUAUAUCGGGAAGGAAGGUGGGGACGACGUCAAGUCAGCACGGCGCUUAUGCCGUGGGCCACACACAUCCUACAAUGGCGAAAAACAAUGAGUCGCAAGAGGGCGACCUCAAGCAAAUCUCUGAAAUUUCGCCUCAGUUGGGAUUGGAGUCUGCAACUCGACUCCAUGAACACGGAAUCGGUAGUAAUCGCGGAUCAGCAGGUCGCGGUGAAUACGUUCUCGGGUCUUGCACACACCGCCCGUCAAGCCAACAAAGUCGAGGGCGGUCGAUGUCCCGAUGUACUUCGGGAUGAAGCCGAACUCGGCGAUGGGGACUAAGUCGUAACAAGGUAACC